rnacentral:rRNA from 1 species
UCCUACGGGGGGCAGCAAUUAGGAAUCUUGCGCAAUGGGCGAAAGCCUGACGCAGCGACGCCGCGUGACUGAUGAAGUCCUUCGGGAUGUAAAAGUCUUUUGCCAGGGAAGAAGGAUGUGACGGUACCUGGCGAAUAAGCCCCGGCUAACUACGUGCCAGCAGCCGCGGUAAUACGUAGGGGGCGAGCGUUGUCCGAAGUCACUGGGCGUAAAGCGCGCGUAGGCGGUCAUUUAAGUUGGAUGUGAAAUCCUGCGGCCCAACCGCAGAACUGCAUCCAAAACUAGGAGACUUGAGGAUGGAAGAGGGCAGUGGAAUUCCUGGUGUAGCGGUGAAAUGCGUAGAUAUCAGGAGGAACACCCGUGGCGAAGGCGGCUGCCUGGUCCAUAUCUGACGCUGAGGUGCGAAAGCCAGGGGAGCGAACGGGAUUAGAUACCCCUGUAGUCAG